GAUGAACGCUAGCUACAGGCUUAACACAUGCAAGUCGAGGGGCAGCACAAGGCAGCAAUGCUGAGGUGGCGACCGGCGCACGGGUGCGUAACGCGUAUCCAACCUUCCCGUUACUCUUGGAUAGCCUUCCGAAAGGGAGAUUAAUACAAGAUGGUGUUGAAAUUCCGCAUGUUAUUUCAACUAAAGAUUUAUCGGUAACGGAUGGGGAUGCGUGACAUUAGAUAGAUGGCGGGGUAACGGCCCACCAUGUCCACGAUGUCUAGGGGUUCUGAGAGGAAGGUCCCCCACACUGGAACUGAGACACGGUCCAGACUCCUACGGGAGGCAGCAGUGAGGAAUAUUGGUCAAUGGCCGGAAGGCUGAACCAGCCAAGUAGCGUGAAGGAUGAAGGUUCUAUGGAUUGUAAACUUCUUUUAUACGGGAAUAAAACCUCCCACGUGUGGGAGCUUGUAUGUACCGUAUGAAUAAGCAUCGGCUAACUCCGUGCCAGCAGCCGACGG
rnacentral:rRNA from 1 species